rnacentral:ncRNA from 1 species
UGGUGCAUGGCCAGUCUUGGUGGAGCAAUUUGUCUGGUUAAUUCCAAUAACAAAUGGGACUCUGCCAUGCUAAUGAGUUGCACAGGAGUCUGUGUCCCAACUCCUUAGAAGGACAAGGAGCAUUUACCUACCCAAGUUCGAGGAAUAAUUGAUCUGUGAUGUC